rnacentral:lncRNA from 1 species
AAAGAGAAGAAAAAGGAAACUUACACCAAAAAGAGAUUUCCUUAAGCUAUGAAGCCCCAAUACCACCUGAAGAAAAAAAUCAGCACAAAAAAAUCAGUCCUAAUAAAUAAUUUAAGCAAAACACUUGGGAGAUUUUAGAUUGCUUCUAAAUCCAAAAAACACACAAUUUUCACCGGAGGGGGUUUCUAAAAUAGCUUUUUUAAGUCAGUCUACAUCAAAGUUUAAAAUAAUGGAUCAACAAUAUACUCUUCGUCUGCAGCCUAAUCCAAAAGUAAUAUAUUUGAAGUAACGUUCACUUCGAAAAACAGAGUACAGUAAUCUGAUGAUGCUCACCAGCCAAAAACCAGCAGUGACAUAGGAAGGAAACAUUGACUUCACAAAGGAUGGAUAGUCAGACUCUAGGCUUGACUCAAGCUCCUCUGCUUUCUUUAUAGAACAUUCUCUAUAUUCAUCUGAUGCAUACACCCGGUUCGAGAGGUUCCGGGUCCGAUUGGUAACUCUACAAAUGCAUUAACCUAAUAAAGAACAUGUUCUACACAAUAAUUGCAUUGAUAACAAAUUAAAUUAAUGCGCUAGAAAUUUUUAAACACAAUUUGCUAGGAUCUUACCUUCUGGCAGAGUUACAAAAAGGCCUAAAAAGAGAGCCACUACACUUCUUUGUAAGUCAAAUAAGUGCACGUUAGAGAGAUACCAGUGAGGGUUUGGGAGAUGAUGAGUUCUUGAGGGCGAUAGAGAGCUGAGAGAGAUUGAGUUCUUCAAGUCUUUUCUUGUUCUCUUCCAAUCUUUGCUCGUGUAAGGCCUCAUAUUUCACUUGGGACAUCACCAUUUUUGCCUUUUCCUUUAGAUUUUGGAGAUUUAAGAAGAGUUGGAGCAGCUAGAGAAACAAUCUUCACUUCUCCUUUACUGGGAGUAGGUGGCUGGCCGGAGGUGCAACUAACGCACUGUCGUGAAAGUGGCCGACGCGACAGUGCAGUUAGGAUUGAAAAAAGGGUCGACAUGUUAUGAUUUAUAAAAGAGUGAACGGAAGGGAAGAAGCAGAGAAGCAGCCUAACUACCUAAGGGAGUAGUCAUUGCCGUUGCCAUCGCUUGUUCGGUUGGAGAAGAGAGGCGAGAGGUGGUUGCUGUUGGGAAUCUACUU